rnacentral:rRNA from 1 species
GAUCCUGGCUCAGGAUGAACGCUAGCUACAGGCUUAACACAUGCAAGUCGAGGGGCAGCAUUUUAGUUUGCUUGCAAACUAAAGAUGGCGACCGGCGCACGGGUGAGUAACACGUAUCCAACCUGCCGAUAACUCGGGGAUAGCCUUUCGAAAGAAAGAUUAAUAUCCGAUAGUAUAUUAAAACCGCAUGGUUUUACUAUUAAAGAAUUUCGGUUUAUCGAUGGGGAGUGCGUUCCAUUAGUUUGUUGGCGGGGUAACGGGCCC